AAACAUUAACCAAAACAAUUACAUUCCUAUUUACCACCCUUCUAUUUAAACAUGUAUAGAUAACCCAAAAUGCCUACUUUCUCUUAUCCCUCUUAUCAUUCUUCCGUUUUUUUUUUUUUUUUUAACUGCAACCACUCAUGCACUUUACACAGACACAAAUCAAGCACCUACUGGACAAUGGGGUUCCCUCGUUAGAGCCCUCCCACCCCAGUUUGGUUUACACAAAAAUACCCCCUGGUCCCUAUGGGUCAAUUCCCCCCCUUUCCCAGGCAAGCAUACAUACAUACAUACAAUAAUACAUAAG